ACAUCUUCUGCAGCUGUCCUCUGACAGAGAUUUUCACAUUGAUUAUUGAAAAGUAGACUUUUAAAACAUUGAAGACAUCUAUACCAGGCUGGCAUCAUGUCUAAUAAAAAGCGAACAAAUAGUUCAAAGCCAGGAAUAAUGUUCUACUUUCACCACCAACCAAAGAAAGGAAAAACUGACAUUCCACUUCAAACACAGAACUUAGCACUGGACAAUGAAAUAGUAACUAUUGACUGUGAGGAAGUUGUUGCUGAGACAUCAGCUGAAU